AUUGAACGCUGGCGGCAUGCCUUACACAUGCAAGUCGAACGGUAACAGGUUAAGCUGACGCGUGGCGAACGGGUGAGUAAUGUAUCGGAACGUGCCCAGUCGUGGGGGAUAACUGCUCGAAAGAGCAGCUAAUACCGCAUACGACCUGAGGGUGAAAGCGGGGGAUCGCAAGACCUCGCGCGAUUGGAGCGGCCGAUAUCAGAUUAGGUAGUUGGUGAGGUAAAGGCUCACCAAGCCGACGAUCUGUAGCUGGUCUGAGAGGACGACCAGCCACACGGGGACGGGGACACGGCCCAGCCUCCUACGGGGGGCAGGGGGGGGGAAUUUGGAAAAAAGGGCGCAGGCCUGACCCAGCCAUGCCGCGGGAGGAAAGAGGGCUUUCGGGUUGUAACCCUCUUUGGUAAGGGAAGAAAGGGUUGGGGAAAAUACCGGGGACCCAUGAGGGUCCGUAAAAAAAAAGCACGGGCAAACUCCGGC
rnacentral:rRNA from 1 species